rnacentral:rRNA from 1 species
UACGUAGGGCGCAAGCGUUGUCCGGAAUUAUUGGGCGUAAAGAGCUCGUAGGCGGUCUGUCGCGUCGGCUGUGAAAACUCGGGGCUCAACCCCGAGCCUGCAGUCGAUACGGGCAGACUAGAGUGCUGUAGGGGAGACUGGAAUUCCUGGUGUAGCGGUGAAAUGCGCAGAUAUCAGGAGGAACACCGGUGGCGAAGGCGGGUCUCUGGGCCGAUACUGACGCUGAGGAGCGAAAGCGUGGGGAGCGAACAGGA